AUGGCCACCAGGUGGACAAAGGCACGGAAACAUUGGUCUCCAGAUAUUGCGAAAAAUUGUUACCCUAUGUACCACCAGCAGUUUGAGAUACUUGAUGAGGCAGAAAUCACAUGGAACCCGUGGACUCAGGACCAGCUAAAAAUGGUCUUUGAUGCUCGACACUUCACACCAGGCAUGUUGACCGAUAGUGCAUUCUGGUUGACUCGCUGCAACUUAUUGUUCCUGUGGUGUGUUGAACCUUACAACCCAGAGCGUGUAAUGAGACAGUUCGGUCUCUAUCAAGAAAUUCUACCACCUUUUCCCAGACGUAUCGACGAGGAAACACAUAAGUAA
rnacentral:rRNA from 1 species